GGUAGAAUGACUGAUUAAGGUGAUAAAUUGUAAAUUUAUUUAUGAGUAUUUCUCUUC
rnacentral:tRNA from 1 species